rnacentral:rRNA from 1 species
UGAAGCAACAAAUGCCCUGCUUCCAGGAAAAGCCUCUAAGCAUCAGGUAACAUCAAAUCGUACCCCAAACCGACACAGGUGGUCAGGUAGAGAAUACCAAGGCGCUUGAGAGAACUCGGGUGAAGGAACUAGGCAAAAUGGUGCCGUAACUUCGGGAGAAGGCACGCUGACAUGUAGGUGAAGUGAUUUACUCAUGGAGCUGAAGUCAGUCGAAGAUACCAGCUGGCUGCAACUGUUUAUUAAAAACACAGCACUGUGCAAACACGAAAGUGGACGUAUACGGUGUGACGCCUGCCCGGUGCCGGAAGGUUAAUUGAUGGGGUCAGCGCAAGCGAAGCUCCUGAUCGAAGCCCCGGUAAACGGCGGCCGUAACUAUAACGGUCCUAAGGUAGCGAAAUUCCUUGUCGGGUAAGUUCCGACCUGCACGAAUGGCGUAAUGAUGGCCAGGCUGUCUCCACCCGAGACUCAGUGAAAUUGAACUCGCUGUGAAGAUGCAGUGUACCCGCGGCAAGACGGAAAGACCCCGUGAACCUUUACUAUAGCUUGACACUGAACAUUGAGCCUUGAUGUGUAGGAUAGGUGGGAGGCUUUGAAGCGUGGACGCCAGUCUGCGUGGAGCCGACCUUGAAAUACCACCCUUUAAUGUUUGAUGUUCUAACGUGGACCCGUAAUCCGGGUUGCGGACAGUGUCUGGUGGGUAGUUUGACUGGGGCGGUCUCCUCCUAAAGAGUAACGGAGGAGCACGAAGGUUGGCUAAUCCUGGUCGGACAUCAGGAGGUUAGUGCAAUGGCAUAAGCCAGCUUGACUGCGAGCGUGACGGCGCGAGCAGGUGCGAAAGCAGGUCAUAGUGAUCCGGUGGUUCUGAAUGGAAGGGCCAUCGCUCAACGGAUAAAAGGUACUCCGGGGAUAACAGGCUGAUACCGCCCAAGAGUUCAUAUCGACGGCGGUGUUUGGCACCUCGAUGUCGGCUCAUCACAUCCUGGGGCUGAAGUAGGUCCCAAGGGUAUGGCUGUUCGCCAUUUAAAGUGGUACGCGAGCUGGGUUUAGAACGUCGUGAGACAGUUCGGUCCCUAUCUGCCGUGGGCGCUGGAGAACUGAGGGGGGCUGCUCCUAGUACGAGAGGACCGGAGUGGACGCAUCACUGGUGUUCGGGUUGUCAUGCCAAUGGCACUGCCCGGUAGCUAAAUGCGGAAGAGAUAAGUGCUGAAAGCAUCUAAGCACGAAACUUGCCCCGA